GGAGAGGGGAAGAAGAGAUGUUGGGCUAAUAGUUUCCAAGGGCCACAGUUCCUCCCUCUCCCCUCCUUUUUAUCCACACAUCUGUUUCCUGAGCCAGCUCACAAAAGCUUCCCUAAGUCAGGACUUGCCUGCGCUCUUCCACAGGACCUACCAAAGAGUGAACAUUUCAGGACCCGGAGUCCCCUGCUAUCCAGCUAAUCAGGUUAUCCAAAAAACUGGUGCUGGGGAAAGCAUAUGGGAUUUGCAGAGAAGAAAGAACCAGAGGAUCUUGGGCAAGAUGAAGACAGCUGGUGAGACAUGGACUGGAUAGCUGUUUGCCGUUUUGCUGUUUGCCUCCUUGUCACGACCUCAGCGACGGCAGAUGGAGCCAGUGGAGGGAGAGAGACAGACGGCAAUGCUUGGGUAGCCAGGGCUCCCUGCCGGCCCCACUCCUCCUGCAGACACGAGCACGCACACACACACGCGCGCAAAACACACACGCUGCCCUUCGCCACACGUAGCCAAGUAAAAUACACAAAAAGCAACUGAGAUACCAUUCGCACAUGACCACAUGGAAACACACAAAUGAACAAACGCAUUCAGGCAUAGCCACAUGCCAGUCACACAGAUGGAUAGACAAGAGCCUGGGGUACAAAGCCACAUGGCACAAAGCCACCUGGAUGUAUAUGCCCCUACACACGCACACAGAAAAAAACAUGCAAACUUAAGUACACACCUAUCCAGACAAGUGUGAGUGCACACACACACACACUCACACACUCUACCUGACACGUUAGUGCAUCCCCAUUGGGCCCCAGUUUCUCUCAGCAAAUUCAGAUCACCCAGCCUGACUUCAAAACCUGCCCCCUUCCAUUCCCCUUCAUGCUGGUUCCUGAAUCCAGCUCGUUGCUCCAGGCUAGCAAAGCUGUCCACAGCCUCAUUUGUGGUUUGCUCACCUGCCUCAGCACCAUCAGCCAGAGGGGGCGAGGAACGCGGCUCUGCGGAGGAGCGGAAUCUUCUCAGCAGCGAUCUGCGAAGGGCUCAGCGGCCACAGGAGGGCGGCAGAGAACAGCGCUCCCUACAGAUCCAGACGUCGGCCCUGGAUGCUGUCUGGAAUCCAGGCAAGGCCAGGCUGGGCUGCCCUAGGCCGGGGACGUCUUUAGCUCGAGCAAAAACCCAUGAAUUUCAGAAUUCAGGAAUCCUUGCAUCCCUUCUCAAGCUCUCUAGUCCCUGAAAUGCCAUCGCCCUCCUCAGCCUCCCUUCCAUUUCUCGUUCUCCUAGCACUGGGGCUGCUGGCACAGAAGGACCCUGUGGCUUUUCCUUCAUGGUAUAGCAGAUGACACCCACGCUCCUCCGUGACAUUCCCUAGGGUCCCAGCUGAUAACUGGAGCUAGAACUAGAACCCACGACUUCUUGGUUCUCUGCGCAGGGGUCUUCCCAUUGUGUCAGCUGCAGCUCCUGAAAUAAAACCAUACCCUACAGGCCACAACCA